rnacentral:rRNA from 1 species
GACGAACGCUGGCGGCGUGCUUAACACAUGCAAGUCGAACGAUGAAGCGGUGCUUGCACCGUGGAUUAGUGGCGAACGGGUGAGUAAUACGUGAGUGACCUACCUUUGACUCUGGGAUAAGCCUGGGAAACUGGGUCUAAUACCGGAUACGACCAAUCUCUGCAUGGGGUGUUGGUGGAAAGCGUUAUGGAGUGGUUUUAGAUGGGCUCACGGCCUAUCAGCUUGUUGGUGAGGUAAUGGCUUACCAAGGCGACGACGGGUAGCCGGCCCGAGAGGGUGACCGGCCACACUGGGACUGAGACACGGCCCAGACUCCUACGGGAGGCAGCAGUGGGGAAUAUUGCACAAUGGGCGCAAGCCUGAUGCAGCGACGCCGCGUGAGGGAUGACGGCCUUCGGGUUGUAAACCUCUGUUAGCAUCGAAGAAGCGAAAGUGACGGUAGGUGCAGAGAAAGCGCCGGCUAACUACGUG